rnacentral:rRNA from 1 species
GACGAACGUUGGCGGCGUGCCUAAUACAUGCAAGUUGAGCGCUGAAGGUGGGUACUUGUACCAACUGGAUGAGCAGCGAACGGGUGAGUAACGCGUGGGGAAUCUGCCUUUGAGCGGGGGACAACAUUUGGAAACGAAUGCUAAUACCGCAUAAAAACUUUAAACACAAGUUUUAAGUUUGAAAGAUGCAAUUGCAUCACUCAAAGAUGAUCCCGCGUUGUAUUAGCUAGUUGGUGAGGUAAAGGCUCACCAAGGCGAUGUUACAUAGCCGACCUGAGAGGGUGAUCGGCCACAUUGGGACUGAGACACGGCCCAAACUCCUACGGGAGGCAGCAGUAGGGAAUCUUCGGCAAUAGACGAAAGUCUGACCGAGCAACGCCGCGUGAGUGAAGAAGGUUUUCGGAUCGUAAAACUCUGUUGGUAGAGAAGAACGUUGGUGAGAGUGGAAAGCUCAUCAAGUGACGGUAACUACCCAGAAAGGGACGGCUAACUACGUG